AUGCAGGAUACCACCAUGGGGAACGGUGAGGAGUGGCCGGAGGAGGUGUCUGGGAGAACGAGGGCCCCGUGUCCAGCUCACUCUGUCCUGUGUCCUACUUCUGCAGGCGGCACCCCCAGCACCUCUCCCCUGGGCUUCCAGCCGGAGCUCGACAGAGCCAUCGCUGCCCUGGCUUCUGCUCUUUCCCAUGCGUGCUGGCCAUACCUGGGGGCCGGCAGGAAGGCCUCCAAUCAGCUUGCUGAGCAGACUCUGUCCACCUGCCAGCCGGACAUGCUCCUGAUGGCCCAGCCUCCACCCUCGGACCAGCUCGUAAGCCCCCAGCAGGACACGGGACCCAUGUGGCACCCCCAGGGUGGUGUGAAAGGAGAAGCUGCCCAGAGCCCUGGCCCUGAAGAGUGGAUCUGCUGGACCUGGCCAGACCACGGAGCCCUUCCUGAGCUGCAGAGAAAGAUCCAGCAAGUGGAAGACACUAUGGAUGAGCUGAAUGAGGAGUUCCUGCAGCUCAGUGCCCAAGCCCUGGAGCUGCAGAAAGAAGAGACCGAGCCAGAUCAACUGCUCUCAGAAGGCGACACCUUUGUGGUAAGCCCAGGAGACAAACGUCCUAGCUCUUGA
rnacentral:lncRNA from 1 species